rnacentral:rRNA from 1 species
AUUAGUGGCGGACGGGUGAGUAACGCGUGGAUAACCCGCCGUAUACAGGGGGAUAACACUUAGAAAUAGGUGCUAAUACCGCAUAAGCGCACGGUUCCGCAUGGAACAGUGUGAAAAACUCCGGUGGUAUACGAUGGAUCCGCGUCUGAUUAGCCAGUUGGCGGGGUAACGGCCCACCAAAGCGACGAUCAGUAGCCGGCCUGAGAGGGUGAACGGCCACAUUGGGACUGAGACACGGCCCAAACUCCUACGGGAGGCAGCAG